rnacentral:rRNA from 1 species
AACGAACGCUGGCGGCAUGCCUAACACAUGCAAGUCGAACGAUUGCCUUCGGGUGAUAGUGGCGCACGGGUGCGUAACGCGUGGGAAUCUGCCCUUAGGUUCGGAAUAACAGCUGGAAACGGCUGCUAAUACCGGAUGAUAUCGCGAGAUCAAAGAUUUAUCGCCUGAGGAUGAGCCCGCGUUGGAUUAGGUAGUUGGUGGGGUAAAGGCCUACCAAGCCGACGAUCCAUAGCUGGUCGGAGAGGAUGAUCAGCCACACUGGGACUGAGACACGGCCCAGACUCCUACGGGAGGCAGCAGUGGGGAAUAUUGGACAAUGGGCGCAAGCCUGAUCCAGCAAUGCCGCGUGAGUGAUGAAGGCCCUAGGGUUGUAAAGCUCUUUUACCCGGGAAGAUAAUGACUGUACCGGGAGAAUAAGCCCCGGCUAACUCCGUG